AUGCUGCCUGGAGCUGGCGGUAACCUGUUGCAACGCAGUGAGGGGGGAGGACUUCGAAAGCAUGAGAGACUGGAGUCAGACCCUGGGAAGAACCAGCAGACAGAAAGCAGGUAUGGGGUGCGCAUUUAUCCUGAGGCUGGAACCCCCUCUACCCCUACCCCGAGACCACCGCCCCCCCCUCCCCGUGUGGAGCCUGGAGAAACUGCAGGGCAUUGGAGUUUAGGGCCGCACUGCUUGGACUCUGUCUGCCCUGGGCCAGGCUGGGGCUUCUGGGGAGGGAACAAGAGUGGGGUCCCCAUGGGCUCAGGCUGCCCGGCUCCUGCCUUAAGCAAACAGAGGCAGGGGUGGGAGCAACAGAAACCAAAUAAAUGUGUGUAUGUGCGUGUGUUGUUUGUGCAUGUGUGUGCAUGUAUGUGUGUGUCUGUGUGUGUGUCUGUUUAUUUCUUCAGGACGCAGUGGCCAGGCUUGGGCAUGGGGACCGGGCCCUGGCCACAGCUGUAAUUGGAUUCCUGCACCAGUACAGGGUGCAAUGGCCCUGGUCUUGUGGUUAGCAGGUGCCAACCCCAGGCCCCACCGGCCGACUGCAGGGAGGAUGGGGGCCGCUCACCCUCCUUCCGCAGGCAGCGGGGCUGGGGUGCCAUUCACCCACCUACCACACGCCCCCACCAGGCUGCAGCGGGGCUGGGGGCCACUCACCCUCCUUCUGCACAACCCCCCUGGAAGCACUUCUUGAGCCGGCAGGACUGGCACUGGUCACGCUGAUGUUGGUCCAUCUGACAGUCCCAAUUGGACCUGCAGGUGUAGCAGUGUUAGGAGCCGAUUGUCUAAUGAAUAUACAGGGUGUGUGUUUCUAAAGCCUGAUCAUUUUAUUUAUUUAUUUUUUUAUUUUUGACAGGCAGAGUGGACAGUGAGAGAGAGAGACAGAGAGAGAAACGUCUUCCUUUGCCGUUGGUUCACCCUCCAAUGGCUGCCGCUGCAGCCGGUGCACCGCGCUGAUCCGAUGGCAGGAGCCAGGAUCCAGGUGCUUUUCCUGGUCUCCCAUGGGGUGCAGGGCCCAAGCACCUGGGCCAUCCUCCACUGCACUCCCUGGCCAUAGCAGAGAGCUGGCCUGGAAGAGGGGCAACCGGGACAGAAUCCUGCGCCCCGACCGGGACUAGAACCCGGUGUGCCGGCGCCGCAAGGUGGAGGAUUAGCCUAUUGAGCCACGGCGCCGAAAGCCUGAUAAUUUUAGACAUAACUUUCUCCACGUUUUAUAUUUCUAUAUUUUAGUUUUCGUGUAUCCAUUUGAAAACAGAGAGUAAUUAUACUGUGUGUGUGUGGCAGGAACCCAAUUCCUUGAGCCCUCCUGUGCUGCCUCCCAGCGUCUGCAUUAGCAGGAAGUUGAAGACAGAAAUGGAAACAACACUCAGAGGCCCUCAUUCCAUUGUAGCAAGGUUGUCUGAAGGGGAUUCUUAACCACUUGGCCAAAUGCUCCCUCCUGCUUACUACUUUUUAAACACCACUCUCUUACAUUACAUAGGCCCAGGAUCACAAAAAUUACCAAUUCCAAUGUUGGCAAAGCCAAUGAAAAUGGAGCUCUUACAAAGUAAAUGAAAGCCAAGUAAAUUAUUUAAUUAGAAGUAUUAGCUUGAAUAAAAUAAUACCUUGAGUUUCA
ensembl:lncRNA